AGAGUUUGAUCAUGGCUCAGAACAACGCUGGCGGCAUGCCUAAUACAUGCAAGUCGAACGGUAACAUGAGUAGCAAUACUUGAUGACGAGUGGCGCACGGGUGCGUAACGCGUAUGCAAUCUACCUUUAACUGGUGAAUAGCCCGAAGAAAUUCGGAUUAAUACACCAUAGUAUAUUAGAGUAGCAUUACUUUAAUAUUAAAAACUACGGUGGUUAAAGAUGAGCAUGCGUGACAUUAGCUAGUUGGUGAGGUAACGGCUCACCAAGGCUACGAUGUCUAGGGGAUCUGAGAGGAUUAACCCCCACACUGGUACUGAGACAGGGACCAGACUCCUACGGGAGGCAGCAGUAAGGAAUAUUGGACAAUGGUCGCAAGACUGAUCCAGCCAUGCCGCGUGAAGGAUGACGGCCCUAUGGGUUGUAAACUUCUUUUGUACGGGAAAAAACCCCUCUACGUGUAGAGGGCUGAUUGUACUGUAAGAAUAAGGAUCGGCUAACUCCGUG
rnacentral:rRNA from 1 species